AUUGAACGCUGGCGGAAUGCUUUACACAUGCAAGUCGAACGGUAGAGGGGGCAACCCCUUGAGAGUGGCGAACGGGUGAGUAAUAUAUCGGAACGUGCCCAGUCGUGGGGAUAACGUAGCGAAAGUUACGCUAAUACCGCAUACGAUCUAAGGAUGAAAGCGGGGGACUCGCAAGAGCCUCGUGCGAUUGGAGCGGCCGAUAUCAGAUUAGGUAGUUGGUGGGGUAAAGGCUCACCAAGCCAACGAUCUGUAGCUGGUCUGAGAGGACGACCAGCCACACUGGAACUGAGACACGGUCCAGACUCCUACGGGAGGCAGCAGUGGGGAAUUUUGGACAAUGGGACGCAAGUCUGAUCCAGCCAUUCCGCGUGCAGGAUGAAGGCCCUCGGGUUGUAAACUGCUUUUGUACGGAACGAAAAGGUUUCUAUUAAUACUAGGAGCUCAUGACGGUACCGUAAGAAUAAGCACCGGCUAACUACGUGCCAGCAGCCGCGGUAAAGUG
rnacentral:rRNA from 1 species